UUUGAAUUUUGAUGAUCAGGACCUCAUGGAAAGAAGAUGGGUGUUUCGGUGGACAUUAUAGUCGUUUCCAUAUUUUGUUUUAUGUGCAUUAUUUUGGGUGGUCUUUGGUGGAAGGGUUAUUUGGGGAGAACAAAAUGAGAUCGAUUAAGGUAAGUCAUUUGUGUUUAGAAUAUGAAGUUUAGUGCUACUAUUUAAGGUUAUGAGUGUCCAGGGGUAGAAGGUUCUAUGGAAUCACAUCUCCGUGCUUUUGGUGAAAGAGAACGCUGGAACGUUGAAGUUUUAUUGCGGAUGUUGACAAAGCUGGUUCCAUUCGUGCACCGAAAGUGAUUGAGACUUGCUCAUUUCCCUCUGCAGUGAGAUUUUCUACAUCUUCUGAAACAUGGGGAUUCUUCACAAUCUCCUUGUUCUAAUUGUAUGCAGGGUAUUUGGGCUUAAGUUAAAAAGCAGUACUCUGGUGAUACUUUAGCAGCAGCUGAACCUGUGUAUAAUUUGCUGAGGAAUGUGGUUAAGCAAACGGAGUCUCGUGAUACUUCUGGUGAUGUUUUAGUCUUUCUUUUCCUGGUUUUUAAUGCCUCUUGUCAGUUGACACAAACUAGAUUACCCAUCCAUUUAUGAACAUCAACAGAGAUCAAAUAUUGUAAGUCAGUCACAACAUUUUAGGUUCAGUAAGUUUACUUGUGUACACUUAUAUCAAUUCAAGAAUCCUUUCUUUCAUAAUAUUAUCUAGUGGUUAUUUUCAACAAUACAGUUUUGU